GAUGAACGCUGGCGGCGUGCCUAAUACAUGCAAGUCGAGCGAACGGACGCGAAGCUUGCUUUUCUGAUGUUAGCGGCGGACGGGUGAGUAACACGUGGAUAACCUACCUAUAAGACUGGGAUAACUUCGGGAAACCGGAGCUAAUACCGGAUAAUAUUUUGAACCGCAUGGUUCAAAAGUGAAAGACGGUCUUGCUGUCACUUAUAGAUGGACCCGCGCUGCAUUAGCUAGUUGGUAAGGUAACGGCUUACCAAGGCAACGAUGCAUAGCCUACCUGAGAGGGUGAUCGGCCACACUGGAACUGAGACACGGUACAGACUCCUACGGGAGGCAGCAGUAGGGAAUCUUGCGCAAUGGGCGAAAGCCUGACGGAUCGACGCCGCGUGAGUGAUGAAGGUCUGCGGAUCGUAUGACGCUGUUAUUAGGGAAGAACAUAUGUGUAAGUAACUGUGCGCAUCGUGACGGUACCUAAUCAGAAAGCCACGGCUAACUACGUG
rnacentral:rRNA from 1 species